CCGAAUACAUUAGCAUGGGAUAAUGGAAUAGGACCCUGUCCUCCUAUCUUCAGUUGGUUAACUUGUAGAGGAUCAGGGUAAUGAUUAAUAGGGAUAGUUGGGGGCAUUAAUAUUUAAUUGUCAGAGGUGAAAUUCUUGGAUUUAUGAAAGAUUAACUUCUGCGAAAGCAUCUGCCAAGGAUGUUUUCAUUAAUCAAGAACGAAAGUUAGGGGAUCGAAGACGAUCAGAUACCGUCGUAGUCUUAACCAUAAACGAUGCCGACCAGCGAUUAGGAGACGUUGAAUACAAAACACCACCAUGCAUAAUUCAGUAUAUGGCCAGUCAAAUGGUUGUAUAUUGUUUGUGUAUGGCACCGGUGAAUGACUCCCUAGCAGCUUGU
rnacentral:rRNA from 1 species